UUAAGCGACUAAGCGUACACGGUGGAUGCCCUGGCAGUCAGAGGCGAUGAAGGACGUGCUAAUCUGCGAAAAGCGUCGGUAAGGUGAUAUGAACCGUUAUAACCGGCGAUGUCCGAAUGGGGAAACCCAGUGCAAUUCGUUGCACUAUCGUUAACUGAAUACAUAGGUUAACGAGGCGAACCGGGGGAACUGAAACAUCUAAGUACCCCGAGGAAAAGAAAUCAACCGAGAUUCCCCCAGUAGCGGCGAGCGAACGGGGAGCAGCCCAGAGUCUGAAUCAGCUUGUGUGUUAGUGGAACGGUCUGGAAAGUCCGACGGUACAGGGUGAUAGUCCCGUACACCAAAAUGCACAGGCUGUGAACUCGAAGAGUAGGGCGGGACACGUGGUAUCCUGUCUGAAUAUGGGGGGACCAUCCUCCAAGGCUAAAUACUCCUGACUGACCGAUAGUGAACCAGUACCGUGAGGGAAAGGCGAAAAGAACCCCGGCGAGGGGAGUGAAAAAGAACCUGAAACCGUGUACGUACAAGCAGUGGGAGCACCUUCGGGUGUGACUGCGUACCUUUUGUAUAAUGGGUCAGCGACUUAUAUUCUGUAGCAAGGUUAACCGUAUAGGGGAGCCGCAGGGAAACCGAGUCUUAACUGGGCGUUAAGUUGCAGGGUAUAGACCCGAAACCCGGUGAUCUAGCCAUGGGCAGGUUGAAGGUUGGGUAACACUAACUGGAGGACCGAACCGACUAAUGUUGAAAAAUUAGCGGAUGACUUGUGGCUGGGGGUGAAAGGCCAAUCAAACCGGGAGAUAGCUGGUUCUCCCCGAAAGCUAUUUAGGUAGCGCCUCGUGAAUUCAUCUUCGGGGGUAGAGCACUGUUUCGGCUAGGGGGUCAUCCCGACUUACCAACCCGAUGCAAACUACGAAUACCGAAGAAUGUUAUCACGGGAGACACACGGCGGGUGCUAACGUCCGUCGUGAAGAGGGAAACAACCCAGACCGCCAGCUAAGGUCCCAAAGUCAUGGUUAAGUGGGAAACGAUGUGGGAAGGCACAGACAGCCAGGAUGUUGGCUUAGAAGCAGCCAUCAUUUAAAGAAAGCGUAAUAGCUCACUGGUCGAGUCGGCCUGCGCGGAAGAUGUAACGGGGCUAAACCAUGCACCGAAGCUGCGGCAGCGACACUAUGUGUUGUUGGGUAGGGGAGCGUUCUGUAAGCCUGCGAAGGUGUGCUGUGAGGCAUGCUGGAGGUAUCAGAAGUGCGAAUGCUGACAUAAGUAACGAUAAAGCGGGUGAAAAGCCCGCUCGCCGGAAGACCAAGGGUUCCUGUCCAACGUUAAUCGGGGCAGGGUGAGUCGGCCCCUAAGGCGAGGCCGAAAGGCGUAGUCGAUGGGAAACAGGUUAAUAUUCCUGUACUUGGUGUUACUGCGAAGGGGGGACGGAGAAGGCUAUGUUAGCCGGGCGACGGUUGUCCCGGUUUAAGCAUGUAGGCUGGUUGUCCAGGCAAAUCCGGAUAAUCAAGGCUGAGGUGUGAUGACGAGGCACUACGGUGCUGAAGUAACAAAUGCCCUGCUUCCAGGAAAAGCCUCUAAGCAUCAGGUAACAUCAAAUCGUACCCCAAACCGACACAGGUGGUCAGGUAGAGAAUACCAAGGCGCUUGAGAGAACUCGGGUGAAGGAACUAGGCAAAAUGGUGCCGUAACUUCGGGAGAAGGCACGCUGGUGUGUAGGUGAAGUCCCUGCGGAUGGAGCUGAGACCAGUCGAAGAUACCAGCUGGCUGCAACUGUUUAUUAAAAACACAGCACUGUGCAAACACGAAAGUGGACGUAUACGGUGUGACGCCUGCCCGGUGCCGGAAGGUUAAUUGAUGGGGUUAUCCGUAAGGAGAAGCUCUUGAUCGAAGCCCCGGUAAACGGCGGCCGUAACUAUAACGGUCCUAAGGUAGCGAAAUUCCUUGUCGGGUAAGUUCCGACCUGCACGAAUGGCGUAAUGAUGGCCAGGCUGUCUCCACCCGAGACUCAGUGAAAUUGAACUCGCUGUGAAGAUGCAGUGUACCCGCGGCAAGACGGAAAGACCCCGUGAACCUUUACUAUAGCUUGACACUGAACAUUGAGCCUUGAUGUGUAGGAUAGGUGGGAGGCUUUGAAGCGUGGACGCCAGUCUGCGUGGAGCCAACCUUGAAAUACCACCCUUUAAUGUUUGAUGUUCUAACGUUGGCCCCUUACCGGGGUUGCGGACAGUGUCUGGUGGGUAGUUUGACUGGGGCGGUCUCCUCCCAAAGCGUAACGGAGGAGCACGAAGGUUAGCUAAUCCUGGUCGGACAUCAGGAGGUUAGUGCAAUGGCAUAAGCUAGCUUGACUGCGAGCGUGACGGCGCGAGCAGGUGCGAAAGCAGGUCAUAGUGAUCCGGUGGUUCUGAAUGGAAGGGCCAUCGCUCAACGGAUAAAAGGUACUCCGGGGAUAACAGGCUGAUACCGCCCAAGAGUUCAUAUCGACGGCGGUGUUUGGCACCUCGAUGUCGGCUCAUCACAUCCUGGGGCUGAAGUAGGUCCCAAGGGUAUGGCUGUUCGCCAUUUAAAGUGGUACGCGAGCUGGGUUUAGAACGUCGUGAGACAGUUCGGUCCCUAUCUGCCGUGGGCGCUGGAGAAUUGAGGGGGGCUGCUCCUAGUACGAGAGGACCGGAGUGGACGCAUCACUGGUGUUCGGGUUGUCAUGCCAAUGGCACUGCCCGGUAGCUAAAUGCGGAAGAGAUAAGUGCUGAAAGCAUCUAAGCACGAAACUUGCCCCGAGAUGAGUUCUCCCUGAGACUUUAAGUCUCCUGAAGGAACGUUGAAGACGACGACGUUGAUAGGCCGGGUGUGUAAGCGCAGCGAUGCGUUGAGCUAACCGGUACUAAUGAACCGUGAGGCUUAACCUU
rnacentral:rRNA from 1 species